rnacentral:lncRNA from 1 species
GGGCUCCAAAGGACACAGGCUUCCUCUCUGACUUUCUUUUCUUACCUGGAAUCACCAAGGAGCUAUUGGCAUAGUGGAGAGAGCGAUGUGCCACCAGUGCAAAGGAGAGACAAUAGGACUGCGCCAUCAUGGAGAUCACGAACCACCUUGCAAGACAGAAAAGAAAGUGUCCUUUCCAAUGUGAUCAGUCUUAAAAACUAUCCUCAGUAUAUAAAAGCCAUGACGUUGACUGAGUGAUUCACAUGCUCCGGGACCUUUGAGUGAUUCACAUGCUCCGGGAC